ACGACUCUCGGCAACGGAUAUCUCGGCUCACGCAUCGAUGAAGAACGUAGCAAAAUGCGAUACUUGGUGUGAAUUGCAGAAUCCCGUGAACCAUCGAGUUUUUGAACGCAAGUUGCGCCCGAAGCCAUCCGGUUGAGGGCACGUCUGCCUGGGCGUCAC
rnacentral:rRNA from 5 species